UGCAGCUGGAAGAGUUGAAAUUCUUUCAUCUUUGCCCUUGCGGCGAGGAAACAGUAUUAGUGCUGCAACAAGGCGAUUAUCUAUGGCAAUCAAUAAAGCACUGCAUGCAUAUAAAAUGCAUAUGGACGUGGAUGUCUCGACUUUUGUGCAUGUCCAACCAGACCUUGUGCAACAACUGAAUGGGUUCGACUGUGGUAUCCUUGCACUAAAGUUCAUGGAGUUUUGGAACGGGGCGACCUUAACCACUUCUGUGGCAGAGGACAAGCUGAACAUGUACAGACUCCAGCUAGUUGUGGAACUAGUGCUCCAUGAACGCAACACUGUUAGAGAUAAAAUUAUGGCCUCCUGUCAUUUGUGACUUCAUGGUUGAUGAUAAGUUUUUCCUAUCUGAUGCUACUUACCAUAUAAAGCAAUACUUGAUUGUAGUUUGUCCACAAAUGACUGAAUUCAUAUCCUUGACAGUAUGGUGAUGCUGAAUGUCAGAAGUUUAUGUACAACAAUGGGCAACAACCAAGGGAAAGAAAGACGUCAUGGUGAUGCUGUUCCUAUAGCUUACGAGAGGGAGUAAUAUCAGAAUGAGUCAUAUGUUAUCCUCUUUCUUCGGAUUGUAUGAAGCAAACUUGGUUUACCAUAUGAUCAAAAUUAGGGUUGUUCAUUAAUGUGAAAUAUCGUAUAGGAAAGGGAGUAGGAAAGGAGUUUUUCAUUAUUCUGGGGCAUCUUUUGUCAAUGUUAUAGGUAGGUUGGAGGUUUCUUUGGUUUGUUGACUAUAUUACAAACAUUUUGCUGAUGUACAAUAUUUAUGUUCUAUGUUUGUGUUUUGUUUUAUACAGGAAAUCCUAAUAGAGAUAAGGCAUUUGUU